ensembl:snoRNA small nucleolar RNA SNORA2/SNORA34 family
CUGGCCCUGAAUCAAGGCCAGCAGCUUCCUGAUGCUGUUGGUUCAAGCAGGAGCCUAAAGAUAUGUCUUUCUAUGGUCUGUUGGCCAUUUCAGAACUUGGGCAGUGAAUGGUCAAUUCAUUAGAAAGAAACAGCU